rnacentral:rRNA from 1 species
UACAGAGGUCCCAAGCGUUGUUCGGAUUCACUGGGCGUAAAGGGUGCGUAGGUGGCAGGGUAAGUCGGAUGUGAAAUCUCCGAGCUCAACUCGGAAAUGGCAUUGGAAACUACCCAGCUCGAGGGUUGGAGGGGGGACUGGAAUGCUUGGUGUAGCAGUGAAAUGCGUAGAUAUCAAGCGGAACACCAGUGGCGAAAGCGAGUCCCUGGACAACUCCUGACACUGAGGCACGAAAGCUAGGGGAGCAAACAGG